GACGGACAGAUUCAAAACUCCCUCUAUUCUGUGCCCGGCCCGCGAAGGAGCUCCUCAGGACUUGAUUAUGCACCCUAUGGUGCUCUGUGCCCGACCCUCUCAGGGCUCCUCAGGACUUUACUCGGAGGGCUAAUGAAUCCAAACUAUGUCCGAUCCGUACAAGCAUAGAAUAAUGCAAUGCGUCACAUUAGUGUAUUCUAGUGCACUCAACCUAGUACAUAUCAUGAUGCAUGGAACAUGCUAAAAGCAUUUAAGUUCUCAUAU
rnacentral:lncRNA from 1 species